AGGGACGUAGUUCAAUUGGUAGAGCACCGGUCUCCAAAACCGGGCGUUGGGGGUUCGAGUCCCUUCGUCCCUGCCAAUA
rnacentral:tRNA from 1 species